GUCAAAGGAAGACUUGAAGAUACUACACUGCGGACUUUAAAGAUGAAGGAAGGGGCGAAAACCAAGAAUGUGGGAAGCCUCUAGAAGCUAGAGAAGGCAAGGAAACAAAUUUUCCACUAGAGCCUCCAGAAGGAACACAGCCCUGCUGACCCACUGUAAUGUCUGACCUCUAGAUGUGUAAGGGUAGUAAGACUGAAAGUCUCAGAAAGGCACUGUUAAAUUCUUAUUCCUCAACUAUGCAACUCAAAACUGGGGUCCUCAGCAGUGAGCGAGGGGUGAGAGAAGACACUGUAUAAACAUGGCACAUCCUCCUGGAAAGUCAACUUUACUCAAAGAAAACACACAUGGAUGUAUUAUGAAGGAGAAUGCAAAUUUUGCAUGAAUUUUUAAGAAUAGGUGUGGAUUAUUCAACCACUUUCUUAUUGCAGCUUUAGAAACCCAGCUCAAACUAGCUGAAGCAGAAAAGACAUUACUGCGCCUAUAAGUUGAAACUUUGGAGGGAUAAAUUUCAGAGGUGUGGCUAGAUCCAACGGCUCUCUGGAAAACUCUGUGAAAAAAAUGCUUCCUCAAGUCCAGAAACCAGAAGCUCAGGAAAUUGUUGCUUGGUUCCUCUUGUUAGAGGCAGAGAUUAUUCAACGACCUACAGGGUAGCGUUUGAACAUUGUUACCAGGAAUCUUUACUUUGCCAUCUUCCAAGUCUGUUCUCCUCAGUAUUGGUUUCAUUUACAAGCAGGCCAUCUCUGCCCUCAUGGCAAUGAUGGUCUUUACUCCAGGCUUAAGACCCUUACUAUCUACUAUUUCCAAAGCGGAGAGAGAACUUCCCACACCUAGUGACCUGUGACACAGGAUUUUAUCCUUCGUACAGAGGGAAUUCAGUUGGCUAACAUAAUCUGCCUUCCAAUGGAGUAAGAAUGUCUGGACUCUUUCCUUCACCUACCCCCAAGACAUGGAGGCGUCUAAAAGAUAAAUAAAACUUGGCAACUGACCGAAGGAGGAAGAGGGGAUUUCAGGCAAAAUCAACGCUGUUCACUACGAGGAGACUUCAGAAAGGUUGCCUGCUUCUGGGGAGCAUAGUCCCUGAUUCCUCAAGACAUACGUUUAUUCUUUUCUUCAAUGUCUUUGCCUGCAGUCAAAACAAAACCAUUACCUUUAGCCAAGUUCACACAUUUCAGCCAAAUCCAUAUGCAUCGGAUCAGUUCUGUAGGUUAUGGGUGAGCAUGAACAUAUAAAAGAGGCACCUGCCUGUGCCUAUCUACUCCAUGGAAUUUCAAAAGGGGCCACUUAUGGAGAAUGUCUUUAGGGACAGAACCAACCACCCUGUCUUUCCUCCAACUCUCAAAGUAACUUCUGGCUUUAAUCCUCAAGUGUCUAUGCUGGAGUUUAAGAAAAAUGUUUUUCAUAGAAUUCAUGUGUAUGAUAUUGCAUGAGUUGUCCAUCUUUGUAUAUAUCUCAAGACUUGUGGUGUUAGUUAAAGAUUCAGAGCUCUGUGUCCUGAACACAGAGUAAUACCAGCAUUACUAAGGAUGAUCGUGGGAUUUUAAAAUUCCUCCCUUAGAUAGAUCUUACGAACUUAUGUUACCAAUCAACAUAAGUUAAGACAAAAAGAGCAAAUUUAGAUGUAAAACCAUCUUGGGGCCAGGUGCUGUGGC
rnacentral:lncRNA from 10 species